GAUUAAGAACGCAGCAAAAUGCGAUAAGUAAUGUGAAUUGCAGAAUUCAGUGAAUCAUCGAAUCUUUGAACGCACAUUGCGCCCGCCAGUAUUCUGGCGGGCAUGCCUGUUCGAGCGUCAUUUCAACCCUCAAGCCCAGCUUGGUGUUGGGAGCUGCAGUCCUGCUGCACUCCCCAAAUACAUUGGCGGUCACGUCGAGCUUCCAUAGCGUAGUAAUUUACACAUCGUUACUGGUAAUCGUCGCGGCCACGCCGUUAAACCCCAACUUCUGAAUGUUGACCUCGGAUCAGGUAGGAAUACCCGCUGAACUUAAGCAUAUCAAUAAGCGGAGGA
rnacentral:rRNA from 1 species